AUUCGGGCUGAUAACUAGGCGGCCGGUCUCAAACAACCUACGACGUCUGCCUUUUAAGUGUCCGAUAUAUUAAUUUGCGAAGAUCUUACACGUUUCCAAAGCGCUGUUAUGGCUUUUUUCAGUAUUUGACGACUUUUAAAUCUUCACAACAUGC
rnacentral:snoRNA from 1 species